UACGAAGGGUGCUAGCGUUGUUCGGAAUUACUGGGCGUAAAGCGCGCGUAGGCGGCUAUCCAAGUCAGAGGUGAAAGCCCUGGGCUCAACCCAGGAAUUGCCUUUGAAACUGGGUAGCUAGAGUGUCGGAGGGGAUAGCGGAAUUGCUAAUGUAGAGGUGAAAUUCGUAGAUAUUAGCAGGAACACCGGUGGCGAAGGCGGCUAUCUGGGCGACAACUGACGCUGAGGCGCGAAAGCGCGGGGAUCAAACAGG
rnacentral:rRNA from 1 species